GGGGACGUUCUGGAUUCGACAGGGGUUGGUUGAGCGUCUUAAGCGUGUCGGAGGUUUCGGCUUCGUCAACAACGAUACUCAGUUAAUAAUAACUGGCAAAAAUAAUAAUUUAGUAGCUGCUUAAUUGCCGCUACAUCAUCUCGUACGCUUUCCUGCGGCCUUCUGAGAUGAUUCAACUUUAGUAGGAUAUACACACUCUCUGCCGUCUGAAGCGGGUGUGAAGAAUUUAAUCAGACUAGCAUAGAUUCAGGUUUGUUCAGUACCACAGUCUAUGUGAACUUUAAACGAGAACUACACACGUAGAAAGAGACGAGGCAAGAUCCUUGGACGCGGGUUCAACUCCCGCCGUCUCCA
rnacentral:tmRNA from 1 species